rnacentral:rRNA from 1 species
AUUGAACGCUGGCGGCAGGCCUAACACAUGCAAGUCGAGCGGAUGAAGGGAGCUUUCUCCUGGAUUCAGCGGCGGACGGGUGAGUAAUGCCUAGGAAUCUGCCUGGUAGUGGGGGAUAACGUCCGGUAACGGGCGCUAAUACCGCAUACGUCCUGAGGGAGAAAGUGGGGGAUCUUCGGACCUCACGCUAUCAGAUGAGCCUAGGUCGGAUUAGCUAGUUGGUGGGGUAAAGGCCUACCAAGGCGACGAUCCGUAACUGGUCUGAGAGGAGGAUCAGUCACACUGGAAAUGAGACACGGUCCAGACUCCUACGGGAGGCAGCAGUGGGAAAUAUUGGACAAUGGGCGAAAGCCUGAUCCAGCCAUGCCGCGUGUGUGAAGAAGGUCUUCGGAUUGUAAAGCACUUUAAGUUGGGAGAAAGGGCAGUAAGUUAAUACCUCGCUGUUUUAACGUUACCAACAGAAUAAGCACCGGCUAACUUCGU